AUUGAACGCUGGCGGCAGGCCUAACACAUGCAAGUCGAACGGUAGCACAGAGGAGCUUGCUCCUUGGGUGACGAGUGGCGGACGGGUGAGUAAUGUCUGGGAAACUGCCCGAUGGAGGGGGAUAACUACUGGAAACGGUAGCUAAUACCGCAUAACGUCGCAAGACCAAAGAGGGGGACCUUCGGGCCUCUUGCCAUCGGAUGUGCCCAGAUGGGAUUAGCUAGUAGGUGGGGUAACGGCUCACCUAGGCGACGAUCCCUAGCUGGUCUGAGAGGAUGACCAGCCACACUGGAACUGAGAGACGGUCCAGACUCCUACGGGGGGCAGCAGUGGGGAAUAUUGCACAAUGGGCGCAAGCCUGAUGCAGCCAUGCCGCGUGUAUGAAGAAGGCCUUCGGGUUGUAAAGUACUUUCAGCGAGGAGGAAGGUGUUGUGGUUAAUAACCGCAGCAAUUGACGUUACUCGCAGAAGAAGCACCGGCUAACUCCGUGCCAGCAGCCGCGGUAA
rnacentral:rRNA from 1 species